rnacentral:rRNA from 1 species
UACAGAGGUCCCAAGCGUUGUUCGGAUUCAUUGGGCGUAAAGGGUGCGUAGGUGGCGCGCUAAGUCAGGUGUGAAAUUUCGGAGCUUAACUCCGAAACUGCAUUUGAUACUGGCGUGCUUGAGGACUGGAGAGGAGACUGGAAUUUACGGUGUAGCAGUGAAAUGCGUAGAGAUCGUAAGGAAGACCAGUGGCGAAGGCGGGCCUCUGGACAGUUCCUGACACUGAGGCGCGAAGGCCAGGGGAGCAAACGGG